UACGUAGGGUGCGAGCGUUAAUCGGAAUUACUGGGCGUAAAGCGUGCGUAGGCGGUUCGUACAGUCAGACGUGAAAUUCCUGGGCUCAACCUGGGGGCUGCGUUUGAUACGUGCGGACUUGAGUGCGGAAGAGGGUCGUGGAAUUCCCAGUGUAGAGGUGAAAUUCGUAGAUAUUGGGAAGAACACCGGUGGCGAAGGCGGCGACCUGGUCCGAUACUGACGCUGAGGCGCGAAAGCGUGGGGAGCAAACAGG
rnacentral:rRNA from 1 species